rnacentral:sRNA from 1 species
AACCUAACCCAAUAUAGUCUUUCAGCUUGAGGUAUGGUUUAAAACCAGAAAAACGUAUUAAAGCCCAUAUAGGCUUUAGCUCAUCGUUUUUCUGGUGCAUGUGGGAAACUGCAUGUGGUAGCCGCAAGGCUAUC